CACGUAGGGGGCAAGCGUUGUCCGGAAUCAUUGGGCGUAAAGAGCUCGUAGGCGGCUCAGUAAGUCGGGUGUGAAACCCUCAGGCUCAACCUGGGGACGCCACCCGAUACUGCUGUGGCUAGAGUCCAGUAGGGGAGUGUGGAAUUCCCGGUGUAGCGGUGAAAUGCGCAGAUAUCGGGAGGAACACCAGCGGCGAAGGCGGCACUCUGGGCUGGUACUGACGCUGAGGAGCGAAAGCCAGGGGAGCAAACGGG
rnacentral:rRNA from 1 species